GUACACGCUGUGACUAGCAUAUCAAUAAGCGGAGGAAAAGAAACUAACAAGGAUUCCCCUAGUAACGGCGAGUGAAGCGGGAAGAGCUCAAAUUUGAAAUCUUAAAGGGUUUCCCUUUACGAAUUGUAGUUUAAAGGAAGUGUUUUCUGUUGAGGUUUUGGUAAAAGUUCUUUGGAAUAGGACAUCAUAGAGGGUGAGAAUCCCGUAUUUGACCUUUACUUUCAACUUUGUGAUACACUUUCAAAGAGUCGGAUUGUUUGGGAAUGCAGUCCAAAAUGGGUGGUAAAUUUCAUCUAAAGCUAAAUAUUGGCGAGAGACCGAUAGCGAACAAGUACCGUGAGGGAAAGAUGAAAAGAACUUUGAAAAGAGAGUUAAACAGUACGUGAAAUUGUCAAAAGGGAAGCGUUUGACACCAGUGUUGUUUUUCUGAAAAUCGAUUAAAGAACUGUUUAUGCUAAGCUGUUUAGACUUUAUCAGCUAUCUGUUUAGUUUUGAGCUUUUCUUUAAUGCACUUUUCAGUUAACAAGUCAACAUCAAUUUCUUUUGCUGUAAAAAAGCUUGAGGAAGGUGGCUUGAGAUUCGUCUUAAGUGUUUAUAGCCUCUUGCCUAUGCAGUCGGAGAGAUUGAGGUCUGCAGCGUAGAUCCUUCGGGGCUAAAUGCAUUUGUGCUAAGUUAUAGCAUUUUAUAGACAACUUGUUGACUAUGAUUUGUCUUGUAGCUUACUCGCUUAUGUUAUUUUACCUACGCUUAGGAUGUUGAAGAUGUAGCACAUCAU
rnacentral:rRNA from 1 species